rnacentral:lncRNA from 1 species
UCAUGUAGCUACGGAAAAAAAAUUCAUAUCUACAACUGAUAAACUCAUCAAUAUAUCAUCAUCAGUUUACAGUCGAGGAUUAAAACUCAUACUAUCCAGCACAAGCAAUAUCGACCUGUCGUCACACAAAUACACAUAUUACUCUAAAGGUUGCUUCUUUAAAUCAAAACUUUUUACAUGUUCUACCUCCUAUCAGACAGGAUUUAAGGAAUGGUGUCUAAUGAUCUACUCUUCAUUUUUCUGAGCUUAAUUUUCAUCAGCCCUGUUGCAAGCAAGCCAAAUUAUUUUUCGUGUGCAGUUAAAUAUUUCAAUUUAGAACAAACUACUUUGGUGUAGGCUUCCAAACAAAAGCUUAAAUAACUCAUUUUUGGCAAACUUAAAUGUAGGGCAUAAGAAGGCGAAAAAGGUAACCAAAAUAAUAGGCAGCUGAGCAAAAUGUUAUUACUAACCUUUGAGAAUUUGGUUUGUAGAGCCUUCACCUAUUCUCGUUGAUUUCUUCUUAAUAAGAUUGACUGCUAAAAUAUUGACGCAUUAGUGACCGCACAAAUUUUGUUCACGGAACCCUUCUGUAUUUCAAUUGUGUACGUUUCUGUCUCACAUCUAGUCAAACCAACAUAUCAAGACAACAGUAAAUGAUUCCAACAGAAACACAGGUGGGAUCAAAUCACAUACAUUUGAAACAUAUUUUUUCACAAAAAAUAAACAAUAAAGAUUGGGCUUGUCUUGUAAUAACAUACCUUUUGAGUUGCUGACUGAUAUGGGACAGAAUAUUUAGGUAAAUC